GCUCCGGUGGCUUAGGGGUAAAGCGCGACACUAGUAAUUGUCGAGAUCCGCGGUUCAAAUCCGCGUCGGAGCU
rnacentral:tRNA from 1 species